rnacentral:tRNA from 1 species
GCCGACGUGGCGGAAUUGGUAGACGCGCUGUCUUGAGGGGGCAGUACCGAGAGGUGUCCCGGUUCGACUCCGGGCGUCGGCACCA